rnacentral:rRNA from 1 species
UACGUAGGGGGCUAGCGUUGUCCGGAUUUAUUGGGCGUAAAGAGCGUGUAGGCGGCCAGAUAGGUCUGCUGUGAAAACUCGAGGCUCAACCUCGAGAUGUCGGCGGAAACCAUUUGGCUAGAGUCCGGAAGAGGAAAGUGGAAUUCCUGGUGUAGCGGUGAAAUGCGCAGAUAUCAGGAAGAACACCCGUGGCGAAGGCGGCUUUCUGGGACGGUACUGACGCUGAGACGCGAAAGCGUUGGGGGAGCGAACAGGG